rnacentral:rRNA from 1 species
CAUUACUGAACUGUCGACACGAGUUGUUGCUGGUCCUCGAAAGGGGGCAUGUGCACGCUCUGUUUACACAUCCACUCACACCUGUGCACCCUCUGUAGUUCUGUGGCCUUGGGGACUCCCGUCCUCUUGCUGCGGUCCUACGUCUUUACACACACACCAUAAUACAGUCUCAUGGAAUGUAUGUCGCGUUUAACGCAAUACAAUUACAACUUUCAGCAACGGAUCUCUUGGCUCUCGCAUCGAUGAAGAACGCAGCGAAAUGCGAUAAGUAAUGUGAAUUGCAGAAUUCAGUGAAUCAUCGAAUCUUUGAACGCACCUUGCGCCCUUUGGCUAUUCCGAAGGGCAUGCCUGUUUGAGUAUCAUGAACACCUCAACUCUCAUGGUCCACCAUGAUGAGCUUGGACUUUGGAGGUAUUGCCGGCCCAAUUGUCGGCUCCUCUCAAAUGGAUCAGCUUGCCAGUGUUUGGUGGCAUCACGGGUGUGAUAACUAUCUACGCUCGUGGCUUUCCACCAUGUAACCUUCAGCGAUGGAGGUUCGCUGGAGCUCACAGACGUCUCUCCUCAGGGAGGACAGCUUUUUGAACGUUUGAUCUCAAAUCAGGUAGGACUACCCGCUGAACUU